AGAAUGUCAAGAAUAUGUCAAGUAAUUUUCAUACAAAUUUGAUAUAAAUGAGAAUUUGUCAAGAAAAAUUAAGACACAAGUCAUACUUUUGGAGAAUGUCGAGUAAAAGUUCAUGCAAAUCAAGACAAAAACUGGUCUUUUCAGACUUUUAGACUUUUGUAGUGUCUGUAUAUAUACUUUUUUCAAUUAUAUAUUUUAUAAAUAAAAGUAUAUAUGUUUUUCAAUUAUAUUUUGUAUAUACAAUUAUAUGUUUUUCAAUUAUAUUUUGUAUAUCAAAUAAUAUGUUUUUCAAUUAUAUUUUGUGUAUAAAAUUAUCAAUUAUUUUUUGUAUAUACAAUUAUAUGUUUUCCAUUAUAUUUUGUAUACGUUGUGAUAAGUUUGUUAAACCUAGGCCAGUAAGUUUUUGACCCAAAUCAAAAAAUGAAAGACUGUCAUGUUCCAAAAGAGGGGCGAAAGAUACCAGAGGGACAGUAAAAUCAUAGAUUGAAAAUAAACUGACAAUGCCAUGGCUUAAAAUUAAAACCAAACAGACAAAUAAUAGAACAGCAGACACAACAUAGUAAACUAAAGACUGUCAAUUCCCUUAAACCGUGUAAUAUAUUUCGUAUCACCAUUUACCUUAGCCGUAAUCGAAAAAAGAUAUAGGAAUUUUGGUCCUCAAUUCUCUCUAACUUCGUAAUUAAUUU
rnacentral:lncRNA from 1 species